UACUCUGCCCCACGGGGAAGGAUGAGAAGCUUCGACUAAGGUUCGACUCGAGCGUAGCGAGAGAACGUUGCCGCAGGCAACGGCCCGAAGGGCGAGGCGCUUUAGCGCCGAGUCAUCCUUCCCCCACCACCA
rnacentral:sRNA from 1 species